CUUUCCCCCGACUAAGGUCGGGAUGCCCCGAGGGUCGACCGUAGAGAAUCAGACUCCCUCGACCUCGGGAAGCGCCGCAGGUCGGUAGAGCGUACCCAGACCCGCCGACCUGACGAAAGAUCCCUCGACUAAGGUUGGGACGCCCCGAGGGUCGACCGUAGAGAACCAGACUCCCUCGACCUCGGGAGGCACCACAGGUCCGCAAAGCGUCCACGGACUCGCCGACCUGACACAAGAUCCCUCGACCAAGGCUGGGGCGCCCCGAGGUCCGACCAUAGGGUCUCAAGCUCCCUUGACCUCGCAAAGAGCUACAAAUCAAUAAAGCCUCCCCAAAUCCUCUCAACCUCGGCAGACGCCGUUGGGUCCGUGAGAAGCCCGAGCCCCCUUAAAGUCAAGAAUGACUCCGGAGGUCGACGAGGAAGGGAGGCAACCUACUCCACCAUGCAAAGCAUAACUCUAAGAAUGCAAGAGGUACAUCUAACUAGACGCCCUCUUUGUCAAAUUUUAUCUACAUACUGCUGAGCGGAAUCUCAUCCAACGUUGGAGUCUUAUCCCGCCCCGAAGCCGGGCUUCUCCAAUAGGUCGGCUUAAGACCGACCCCCUAACUACAUUAUGCAUGCUCCGUUCAUCAAGUCUCCGCAAUUUGUACAAAGGCUUCAUAAAUUAGGGCCCAACUCGGCUCUUCUACGUAAACUCC
rnacentral:lncRNA from 1 species